rnacentral:rRNA from 1 species
UACGUAGGGUGCAAGCGUUAAUCGGAAUUACUGGGCGUAAAGCGUGCGCAGGCGGUUGUGCAAGACAGAUGUGAAAUCCCCCGGGCUUAACCUGGGAAUUGCAUUUGUGACUGCACGGCUAGAGUGUGUCAGAGGGGGGGUAGAAUUCCACGUGUAGCAGUGAAAUGCGUAGAUAUGUGGAGGAAUACCGAUGGCGAAGGCAGCCCCCUGGGAUAACACUGACGCUGAGGAGCGAAAGCAUGGGGAGCGAACAGG